AGACAUCGCUGCGGCCGGGAUAGGGCGCCGCCGUUCUGGCCGGCUUUCUCGGUGCCCUGGAGGACCUGGCCGGCUCCGCGGGAAGCUGUACUCAGAGCGCGCGGCCGCCCUCUGGCAGGGAGGAGUUCGUUGCACUUUUGAGGGUUCUUCACGAAGACAUCCAAUACAUAGAAAACAAGUAACAGCAACAGUAACGAAUUUUUAAAUAUUAAAAUUGCUGGGGAACACGACGGAUCCUGCAGCUGCUCGGCUGUCCCGGUCGUCAGUGACGCUAGGGCUCCGCACCGUACCCUGCAUACCGUAGGUGCUCACGAAACGUUCGUGAGUUCCCUGCUCUGAGGAAACAAGCUUAAAAACUCAGAAUCUAAGGUGUGAGUCUCCGCAAACCUGCUUGUUGGGCAGCGUCCCCCGCCCGGGCUAGCCCUGCACGCCCCACCCCGGAGCCACGCUUCUCCAGCCGGGACCCCUGCCUCCUUCCAGGCUAUUCUCGGAACCGCAGCCAGAGGGAAUUUUUUUUUCCUUUCCUGAAACGUAGAGCAGAUCUGGUUACUCUUCUGCACAACGCCCUAAAAUCUAGGGCCCUUCCCAUCCCUCAGAAUUUACAUCUAAUUCUCAGCUCCCCUCCGGCUUGCUGUAGCCAUCCUGGCUUUUGUUUAGCACAGCACUUACUGUUAGUGACAUUAUAUUGUAUAUUAUUAACAUAUUUGUGUUUUACAUCCCUCACUAGACCCCCAGGAAAGAGGCUUUGAUGUGUUGCCUGCUGCAAGGCUGGCUGCAUAAUUUGUGGAGCUCAGAGAAAAGUGCGGAGCUUCCUUGUUCAAAAAACAGAAAGAAAGUGCCUCUGAGGUCAUAAAAUAUAAAACUUUCUCUUUCCUCUCAGUUUCUCUCUUUUCAUAGUGUUUUUAUGUGUUAUUUAAUAUCAUUCCAAGAAAAAUUUAGAUUUAAAUUGUUAGCAUGAAGUUCACCAUCCAUCUUUACGUUGUGCAAUGCCAGUUUUAAAUACUAAUAUAAGUGCACUGAUCUCAUAUGUGGAAUCACAGAAAUUAUGCAAUUUGUACUUCAUAGCUUAUACAUGCAUAUAGAUUUUGUUUUUACCAGAACCACGCUGGUAAAAACAGAUGCUGCACAAAGUGAACUUGCCCGUUUUCAUCGCACUUUACGUGCACGAAUUCUACCUCUACUCUCGACCUGGGACUCACCGAUGCGUAAGGAAGGACUGAAAAGCAAAAGAACUAUGGACUGGCCUUUUGGCAUGAUCAGGUGUCUAAUAUAAAGAAGUGCAUGAAUAAGAAAAUAUAUGAUAUGAGUGAUGGUUAAUACUGACUGUCAACUUGAUUGGAUUGAAGGAUGCAAAGUAUUGAUCCUGGGUGUGUCUGUGAGGGUGUUGCCAAAGGAGAUUAACAUUUGAGUCAGUGGGCUGGGAAAGUUCGACCCACUGUUAAUCUAGAUGGACACCAUCUAAUCAGAUGCCAGUGCAGCUAGAAAUGUAAAGCAGACAGAAAAAUGCGAAAAGAGAGACUGGCCUAGCCUGCCAGCCUACAUCUUUCUCCCACGCUGGAUGCUUCCUGCCCUCGAACAUCAGACUCCAAGUUCUUCAGUUUGGGACUUGGACUGGCUCUCCUUGUUCCUCAGCUUGAAGACUGCCCAUUGUGGGACUUGUGAUCAUGUGGAGCACCUAUCCAGUGAGGCUGUGAGGAAGGCCUUAUACCAAGAAUAGGAGAAAG
rnacentral:lncRNA from 10 species